AGGGCAGUCAAGUAGGGUGAUUUGAUGAUCCCUGAUCUUCAGUAAAAUGCUUCAUAUAAGGAUGGCAAAAGUAUUCAGCUGUCAUUAAUGAGCAUAUGAAUAAAUGUAUCAGAUGAUGUAGAUGAAUAGGUGAUGUUCUGUUUAUAUUGGCUACUUUGGAUGAAAUUAAGAAGUACAGAGGAGAACCCUUAUCCAAACGAUCUGUGGAAGCAAUAACAGCUGUGGGUGGACUCCCAGUGUGUGACUCCAUCCUUUAAACUCACACUGAUCCACGGAGCGUCCCUGUAAUCAUGAUUGAAGAGCUGGCAGAGGAGGGGCGGUGUGGGGGUGCCAGUGCAGUGUAGCUGAUGUCUCUUUCUCAGCCGUGCGGUCUGAUAUUAAUCAAUGUGUGCUGAUAAUGAUGUGAUAGAAAUGAUGCAAUGGCUUUCUGCCAGCCUGGGGCUCUUUACAUUAUGAAAGUUUUUAUGAGCUUUGUCUUUUUUCCUCAAUUCUUCAAU